rnacentral:snRNA from 1 species
AUCGCUUCUCGGCCUUUUGGCUAAGAUCAAAGUGUAGUUCUUAUCAGCUUAAUGCGAUGGAAUAGUUUUGUUUGUCCUUAGGACCGUCUCAUAGCAUCGCUUAUACUGUGGAACAAAGAGGCCGAGUUACUCUUUAUUUUUGAUCUUUUCUUUUUUUUAGGUUGUUAGUGGUGGAUAAGAUGUCUUCUCACAGGCUUGCUGCACGUCCGAAGCCACGCCCAU